rnacentral:rRNA from 1 species
UACGAAGGGGGCUAGCGUUGCUCGGAAUUACUGGGCGUAAAGGGCGCGUAGGCGGAUAUCUAAGUUGGGGGUGAAAUCCCGGGGCUCAACCUCGGAAUUGCCUUCAAAACUGGGUAUCUUGAGUUCGGGAGAGGUGAGUGGAACUCCGGAGUGUAGAGGUGAAAUUCGUAGAUAUUCGGAAAGAACACCAGUGGCGAAGGCGACUCACUGGCCCGAUACGUGACGCUGAGGCGCGAAAGCGUGGGGAGCAA